rnacentral:rRNA from 1 species
GAUGAACGCUGGCGGCGUGCCUAAUACAUGCAAGUCGAACGAACAUACGCGGAGUUUGCCGGUCUGGCGUUGUCGGCGGACGGGUGAUUAACACGUGGUUAACCUCCCUAUAAUACUGGGAAAACUUCGGAAAACCGGAGCUAAUCCCGGAGAAUAUGUUGAACCGCAUGGUUCAAUAGUGAAAGACGGUUUUGCUGGCACUUAUAGAUGGGUCCGCGCCGCAUUAGCUAGUUGGUGAGGUAACGGCUUACUACGGCCACGAUGCGUAGCCGACCUGCGAGGGGGAUCGGCGGCACUGGAGCGGCGACACGGUGCAGACGCCUACGGGGGGCAGCAGUAGGGAAUGUUCCGCAAUGGGCGGAAGCCUGCCGGUGCAGCGCCGCGGGAGGGAUGAAGGUGGUCUGAUCGUAGAGCUCUGUUAUUGGGGGUGAAGAAAGGUCUAAUUUUCGAUGCGCGGUUUGACGGUACCGGGUCAGAAAGCCACGGCUAACUACGUG